GCCAGCGAGAAGGCCGACGCGUGUGCA
rnacentral:sRNA from 1 species